rnacentral:rRNA from 1 species
CCCCGGUAAACGGCGGCCGUAACUAUAACGGUCCUAAGGUAGCGAAAUUCCUUGUCGGGUAAGUUCCGACCUGCACGAAUGGCGUAAUGAUGGCCAGGCUGUCUCCACCCGAGACUCAGUGAAAUUGAACUCGCUGUGAAGAUGCAGUGUACCCGCGGCAAGACGGAAAGACCCCGUGAACCUUUACUAUAGCUUGACACUGAACAUUGAGCCUUGAUGUGUAGGAUAGGUGGGAGGCUUUGAAGUGUGGACGCCAGUCUGCAUGGAGCCGGCCUUGAAAUACCACCCUUUAAUGUUUGAUGUUCUAACGUGGACCCGUGAUCCGGGUUGCGGACAGUGUCUGGUGGGUAGUUUGACUGGGGCGGUCUCCUCCUAAAGAGUAACGGAGGAGCACGAAGGUUGGCUAAUCCUGGUCGGACAUCAGGAGGUUAGUGCAAUGGCAUAAGCCAGCUUGACUGCGAGCGUGACGGCGCGAGCAGGUGCGAAAGCAGGUCAUAGUGAUCCGGUGGUUCUGAAUGGAAGGGCCAUCGCUCAACGGAUAAAAGGUACUCCGGGGAUAACAGGCUGAUACCGCCCAAGAGUUCAUAUCGACGGCGGUGUUUGGCACCUCGAUGUCGGCUCAUCACAUCCUGGGGCUGAAGUAGGUCCCAAGGGUAUGGCUGUUCGCCAUUUAAAGUGGUACGCGAGCUGGGUUUAGAACGUCGUGAGACAGUUCGGUCCCUAUCUGCCGUGGGCGCUGGAGAACUGAGGGGGGCUGCUCCUAGUACGAGAGGACCGGAGUGGACGCAUCACUGGUGUUCGGGUUGUCAUGCCAAUGGCACUGCCCGGUAGCUAAAUGCGGAAGAGAUAAGUGCUGAAAGCAUCUAAGCACGAAACUUGCCCCGAGAUGAGUUCUCCCUGAGACUUAGAGUCUCCUGAAGGAACGUUGAAGACGACGACGUUGAUAGGCCGGGUGUGUAAGCGCAGCGAUGCGUUGAGCUAACCGGUACUAAUGAACCGUGAGGCUUAACCUU